rnacentral:rRNA from 1 species
AGUGAACGCUGGCGGUAGGCCUAACACAUGCAAGUCGAACGGCAGCACAGUAAGAGCUUGCUCUUACGGGUGGCGAGUGGCGGACGGGUGAGGAAUACAUCGGAAUCUACUUUUUCGUGGGGGAUAACGUAGGGAAACUUACGCUAAUACCGCAUACGACCUACGGGUGAAAGCAGGGGAUCUUCGGACCUUGCGCGAUUGAAUGAGCCGAUGUCGGAUUAGCUAGUUGGCGGGGUAAAGGCCCACCAAGGCGACGAUCCGUAGCUGGUCUGAGAGGAUGAUCAGCCACACUGGAACUGAGACACGGUCCAGACUCCUACGGGAGGCAGCAGUGGGGAAUAUUGGACAAUGGGCGCUAGCCUGAUCCAGCCAUACCGCGUGGGUGAAGAAGGCCUUCGGGUUGUAAAGCCCUUUUGUUGGGAAAGAAAAGCAGCAGGUUAAUACCCCGCUGUUCUGACGGUACCCAAAGAAUAAGCACCGGCUAACUUCGU